GCUCAAAUUUUAAAGCUGGCGUCUUUGGCGCCCGCGUUGUAAUUUGGAGAGGCAUCUUCGGUUUGGGCGCCAGCCUAUGUUCCUUGGAACAGGACGUCACAGAGGGUGAGAAUCCCGUGCCUGGCUGGCUGUCCCUUUCCAUGUGAAGUGCCUUCGACGAGUCGAGUUGUUUGGGAAUGCAGCUCAAAAUGGGUGGUAAAUUUCAUCUAAAGCUAAAUAUUGGCGGGAGACCGAUAGCGCACAAGUAGAGUGAUCGAAAGAUGAAAAGCACUUUGAAAAUAGAGUUAAAAAGUACGUGAAAUUGUUGAAAGGGAAGCGCUUGAGACCAGACUCGGCCGGAGAUGAUCAGCCGUCCUUCUGGGCGGUGCACUCGUUUCCGGCCGGGCCAGCAUCGGUUGAGACGGCGGGAUAAAGGCCCGGGGAAUGUGGCUCCUUUCGGGGAGUGUUAUAGCCCCGGGCGCAAUGCCGCCAGCCUCGACCGAGGACCGCGCUUAAUUGCUAGGAUGCUGGCGUAAUGGUCUUCAGCGACCCGUCUUGAAACACGGACCAAGGAGUCUAACAUCUAUGCGAGUGUUUGGGUGUCAAACCCUUGCGCGUAAUGAAAGUGAACGGAGGUGGGAACCCCUCGCGGGGCGCACCAUCGACCGGUCCUGAUGUCUUCKGAUGGAUCUGAGUAGGAKCAUAGCUGUUGGGACCCGAAAKAUGGUGAACUAUGCCUGAAUAGGGUGAAGCCAGAGGAAACUCUGGUGGAGGCUCGCAGCGGUUCUGACGUGCAAAUCSAUCGUCAAAUUUGGGUAUAGGGGCGAAAGACUAAUCGAACCAUCUASUAGCUGGUUCCUGCCGAAGUUYCCCUCARGA
rnacentral:rRNA from 1 species